UAGCGGAUUAGUUCUACUCCUGACCUUCUAUUACCUAGCUUAGGAUAUGGUUUCAGGUAGCAGUAGAUGAUUCAUGGAUGCUUGGAGAGAUGCCAGCUGCCAGUCCUAGGUCCUGCGUUAUAUCGGUUUUAUUUCCGCUUUAUUUGUAUUUUUAGUAUACAACAAUUUUGGUAUUGUAUGCAUUGGUCUGUGUUUGGAGUUUGAUUCGUAGUGUUUUGCUUUCGUGAUCUUGUGGUGGUGUAAGCCUAAUUGGCUAGUAAACUUUAGUUAUGGAUUGUUCGUAUUAUUUUA